rnacentral:lncRNA from 1 species
GCUAAGGAUAGGGAGGUGGAUUUGGGAGCUAGCUCCAAAGAAGGUCGCACCACGGGAAUGAAUCAUGGCCCGGGAAGGGACUGUAGGACAAGGAAAGAGGACUAAGGCUGGACCUUGGUGACAGAACACUGAUGGGACAGGCAGAAGAAGAGGAACCAUGAGGAAGACUAAAGAGGAAUAACACUAGUGAGGAGAAGCAAGGCAGUUCAGUGUCAUGGAAGCCAAAAAUAUGGAGACUUCAAGAGGGUAAGACCCGAGAAGAGGCUCAGUGGAGGCUGCUGGUGACCUCUGAAAGCCAUCUACAUACAGUUCUGGGAUGGUGCCAUGUUGACAGGGUCCAAAUAAUUGUUGGUUAUUGAAAAAGAACUGACUCUGGGAGGACCGAGCAUUUAAGAAUAAGGGCAAGUAAGGAGUGAGACAGUAAGGUAGUGCAAGGAAGAGGCGGUUCAAAGGGUUAUGGGAAACAUGAGAGGCUUUGUAGACUAAAGAAAGAGAUGCACUGCUGAGCUCACCCUGUCCCACCUACCUUUCUAAUGCAGGAAAUUAAGAUCAGAAAAGAGAACAAGAGAAGAUGGCUGGUUGGUUGCUGGACACCAGAAUAUGAAGAAAUUGAUCCCCUACCUCAAGAAAUGAGAGCAAUACUGAGAGCAUCAGACCGAAGAUUUGGUGUAUGGUUCAAAUUCAUGAUCUAUCUUCUCCAAAUGUUGGCUUUCUCGUCUCUGUUGAUGACCUACUAUGUACCAUUUUGAACGCCUGUUGGACUUAAUAAACUUGCCUCUCCAGGUAUUUGGCUCAGGUGGGUGCUCCUCUAGGAUAUGGCGAUCAAGUAUGCAUUGAUAUCACCCAGAACCUCUGCUCUCAUGCAUCAUCUUUUUCCAGUCUGAGGAUCCCUUACUCUGCCUGGGGAGACAGCUUUUUGGUCUGGCAACACUCCUCCCUUCCAUCAUGACAUUGGAGCUCCUGAGCCCUGCUCCAUGUGCACGAGGGCUGACCAGUGAGGAGGCAGUAAUGUGAAUACUGUACCCCAGGUGUAUGUGGCAUGGCUCACUGCUCUGUAAGGGGAUCUGUGGGUUAUCUGGGGCCAGCUUUUAACCCCAGACUACUUUCCCCUUAACCAGCUUCCUCUUGCUAUCUCGUUCAGAGUGCAUGGGGGAAAAUGCAAUCUCACUUAAAAAUUAACUCAAACAUCUGCUGGUAGCCUCCACUACCAUUUAUUUCAUGCAUUUCAGUCUUAAAAAUGACUUUUGGGGGCACCUGGGUGGCACAGCGGUUAAAGCGUCUGCCUUCGGCUCAGGGCGUGGUCCCGGCGUUAUGGGAUCGAGCCCCAUAUCAGGCUCCUCCACUAUGAGCCUGCUUCUUCCUCUCCCACUCCCCCUGCUUGUGUUCCCUCUCUCGCUGGCUGUCUCUAUCUCUGUCGAAUAAAUAAAUAAAAUCUUUAAAAAAAAUGACUU